rnacentral:rRNA from 1 species
UGGGGAAUAUUGCACAAUGGGCGAAAGCCUGAUGCAGCGACGCCGCGUGAGGGAUGACGGCCUUCGGGUUGUAAACCUCUUUCAGUAGGGACGAAGCGCAAGUGACGGUACCUGCAGAAGAAGCACCGGCUAACUACGUGCCAGCAGCCGCGGUAAUACGUAGGGUGCGAGCGUUGUCCGGAAUUACUGGGCGUAAAGAGCUCGUAGGCGGUUUGUCACGUCGUCUGUGAAAUCCUAGGGCUUAACCCUGGACGUGCAGGCGAUACGGGCUGACUUGAGUACUACAGGGGAGAAUGGAAUUUCUGGUGUAGCGGUGGAAUGCACAGAUAUCAGGAAGGACACCGAUGGCGAAGGCAGGUCUCUGGGUAGUAACUGACGCUGAGGAGCGAAAGCAUGGGUAGCGAACAGG